rnacentral:rRNA from 1 species
GAUGAACGCGGCGGCGUGCUUAACACAUGCAAGUCGAACGGGAUCCCGGGGGUUCGCUUCCGGGUGAGAGUGGCGAACGGGUGAGUAAUGCGUGACCGACCUGCCCCAUACACCGGAAUAGCUCCUGGAAACGGGUGGUAAUGCCGGAUGCUCCGGUUGGAUGCAUGUCCUUCCGGGAAAGAUUCUAUCGGUAUGGGAUGGGGUCGCGUCCUAUCAGCUUGAUGGCGGGGUAACGGCCCACCAUGGCUUCGACGGGUAGCCGGCCUGAGAGGGCGACCGGCCACAUUGGGACUGAGAUACGGCCCAGACUCCUACGGGAGGCAGCAGUGGGGAAUAUUGCACAAUGGGUGCAAGCCUGAUGCAGCGACGCCGCGUGCGGGAUGGAGGCCUUCGGGUUGUAAACCGCUUUUGAUCGGGAGCAAGCCCUUCGGGG